UACGUAGGGAGCAAGCGUUGUCCGGAAUCAUUGGGCGUAAAGCGCGCGUAGGUGGCCCCAUAAGUCCGCUGUGAAAGUCAAAGGCUCAACCUUUGAAAGCCGGUGGAUACUGUGGGACUAGAGUACGGAAGAGGCGAGUGGAAUUCCUGGUGUAGCGGUGGAAUGCGCAGAUAUCAGGAGGAACACCAAUAGCGAAGGCAGCUCGCUGGGACGUUACUGACACUGAGGCGCGAAAGCGUGGGGAGCAAACGGG
rnacentral:rRNA from 1 species